ensembl:lincRNA
GGCCGCCUCUCCUCCGGCUUCCCGCCUAGUGAGCGCACCUUGGACGCCUGCGGCUUUUCCGAGCCGAAACUCACGGGCUGUGGCCGGCUUCGUUUCGUGUCGUGCAGCUCCGCGACCGCCCGUCGCCACACCAUUCAGGGACUUCGUGCUUUACGAUGGGGGCGCAGUGGCCUGGCACACGCAGGACCCCGGGCCUCGAACCCUCGCGCUGGCCGCCCUGGACCCGCGGCGGGGACCCGCACAGUCAGAGUACCUGCCCAUACCGAUGGGGUGGGGACCACCACGGAGCCUUUCCUUGGCCCCGCGGCUUCUGUUCCUUUGGAGACGGACAGCGCCCACCCGGAGGAAAGCCUGACAGACGAGACUUCGCAAGGAUCAGCAAGAAGGCACAUGUGAAGCUCACCCAGGUUCUGUCUGUUUCUGCUCUCGUACAAAGACCCCAUAUGGAGCCAGUGACAACGAGGNNNNNNNNNNNNNNNNNNNNNNNNNCAAGGAUCAGCAAGAAGGCACAUGUGAAGCUCACCCAGGUUCUGUCUGUUUCUGCUCUCGUACAAAGACCCCAUAUGGAGCCAGUGACAACGAGGGCCAUGGGGAAGGCAGGAACCUGCCAGUUCAGGGAGGCCCAUCUUUCUAGAAGGUUAACAGGAACUUCCAGCCUCCAGCCUACUUAGUGACCGGCUGCUGGAGGACGGUGAGCGGCCCCUGCUGUCCACGUCUCCACGGGGGUCACCGAGCACACUCACAGGGUCCCCCUCUCCACCUGGAGCAGAGAAUUUGGAGGAGCCCGUCUUGCUGUCUUUUCUGAUGUUGUUAAACUAUGCUUGGGCCUGCCCGUUGCUCAGAGGAGCUUUCUACACAGCUGGACUUCUGAGGUGGGACCUGCCACGUGCUAACACCAGCACUCGGAACAGUCUCUGCCACUGGCAACAUCCUGUCCUGAACAUCUCCAAUGUGACCUCUCUCCUGAAAGGCCUGUGUGCGACUUAUCUGUGAAGCUGGAAGAAAGUUCUGGAACUUCCCCUUCUCCUUUGGUGCAAAGUUACACUAACUGUCAUGAUGUUGUUGAUUUCCAUUUUUUUUUGUUGUUCUUGUUGAGACGGAGUCUCACUCUGUUGCCUGGGUUGGAGUGCAGUGGCGCGAUCUCGGCUCACUACGGCCUCCGCCUCCUGGGUUCAAGUGAUUCUCCUGCUUCAGCCUCCCAAGUAGCUGGGAUUACAGGCACCUGCCACCACAGCUGGCUGAUUUUGUAUUUGUAGUAGAGACAGGGUUUCACUAUGUUGACCAGGCUGGUCUUAAAUUCCUGACCUCAGGUGAUCUGCCCACCUCAGCCUCCCAAAGUGCUGGGAUUACAGGCGUGAGCCACUGUGCCCGGCCUUGAUUUCCUUCUUAAGCAGAGUUGAGUCUCUGUCCACACCAGUGCUGCCUGGGCCUUCCUGAGCACCUGUGGCUGGCAUCCCUUCCCAUCUCUCCACCCUGUGGCAGGCAGCAGUCUUGCUGUUCCCCGGCACCUCUGCCAAGCUGCCUUCAGAGCUGCAUUCGGGAAGCCACUGCACAGCCACAAUGCAUGCUGAAUGCAUCCAUAUGCAGAAUUCACUCACAUGUCAUACAGUUAGUCAAAAAUGUCGAGGCCCUGCCAGCUGGAGAGAUGGGGGAGAAUACGGAUCCCUCCAUGAGUCCAAGCCGGCGGUACAAUCCCCUCAGGCCCCCUCCUCCUCCUGUGCUCCAGGUUUUCUAUUUCAAGGCUGCUGUUUACUUCCUUACUGUAUGUCAGCUCAGUCAUGGAUUUUAAACGAUGCAUAUAUAUAUAUAUUUUGCUUGUUUGUUCGUUUGUUUGUUUGAGAUGGAGUCUUGCUCUGUCACCCAGGCUGGAGUGCAGUGGUGUGAUCUCAGCUCACUGCAGCCUCUGCCUCCUGGGUUCAAGCAGUUCUCCUGCCUCAGCCUCCUGUGCUUU